ACCACGCGCACACCCCCUCGGAGAUGACAGCGCCGUCGCCCUGCGAGGAAAGCGCUCGCAUCUGUGCGAAGAGAGAAAAAAAAAGAGAAGAAGAAGAAUACGGCAAAAAACGAAUUAUAGAGCGAAAGCAAUCAUUAUUCUGCAAUUCUUGCCUCGCCCUCCGAGGGGUUCAAUGGACCGAGAGGCUGGGAAAAAAUGCACUUUGCCUGCUUUCAUGAAUCAUAUCUAUAAGCCAAGUGAAGUGUGUCCUCUAUUCUGGCAGUUACAGUGCGGGCGUGAUUCAGCGCCGCGUGAGAUAAGGCGGCCGGCUACCGGCGGCAGGAGAGGAGGCGACAGGAAGACGCUGCUCGGACAGCUCCUUGGCCUCGUGGGAGAGGUCGAAUCGCAGCGUGCGCCCGGCCCCCCUCCCUGCAGAGGAGUUCUGGGGCGGGUGACGCCCGAGGCAGAACCACAAACUGCUACCAGCAUUCCUCACCCGGUCUGGACGCAGCUCAGCAUCUCAGAGGAUGUUUUGUUGGCGAUGACGCAACGAGGCACCGCGUAAUCCAACUAUUAGCGGCACCGAAACCAUCUGAACCUCCUGGAUGUCACGCCCAAGCAGACCGAGGGCAGGCUGUCAUUGUCUGCCUGACGCCUGUUAAUCAUCCCGGGCCGUGGGAGGCCUUUGACUGACGCGUCGCUGUAUUUUGCUGACACAAAAUACUUUGCUCUGUUGUCGUGGUGAUCAAACAGGAACCUGAUUGUGCUGGAGAUCAAUGGACUAAGCUACACGUGAUGGUUAUGCUCCCUUCCUGCGCUGCAGCGUGUUUUGAAGCUAGACAAGCUGUAAUGCACAACGUGGCUGUGAUUUUAAUAUAUUGCAUGUCUGUCUGAGUUAAACAUGACUUAGAUGUGUAAUAUUAACAUCAUAUUGUUAAUUUUCAAUAGAAGAUCUGAACAUCACAUCACUCAUUCAUGCAGUGUUUCUGCUCCUUUAAUCCUUUCCAGGGUCAUGACAAUAAUUAGCUGUAAAAUAAGUUCUGCUUUGGUUUGAGUUGAUGUUGUUAUUCCCCACUACACCUUCAUAUUCACGAGUACAUUUUCGUGGACUAAUCCCCUAAAUUUGGUGAACCUACAGUAUGUUCAGAUUUCAAAUGAAAACCAGCCUUGAAAACAUGGAAUUAACGCAGCACUUAUUAUCUUCAAACACUUGGCUGUAAACAACACUGACAGCAAGGAUGAA